rnacentral:rRNA from 1 species
UGUAGCUCAUAUUUUUUAAUUUUAGUUUGGUUAAGUUAGAAAGGGCGCACGGUGGAUGCCUUGACACUAGGAGUCGAUGAAGGACGGGACUAACGCCGAUAUGCUUCGGGGAGCUGUAAGUAAGCUUUGAUCCGAAGAUUUCCGAAUGGGGAAACCCACCAUACGUAAUGGUAUGGUAUCCUUAUCUGAAUACAUAGGGUAAGGAAGACAGACCCAGGGAACUGAAACAUCUAAGUACCUGGAGGAAGAGAAAGCAAAUGCGAUUUCCUGAGUAGCGGCGAGCGAAACGGAACAUAGCCCAAACCAAGAGGCUUGCCUCUUGGGGUUGUAGGACAUUCUAUACGGAGUUACAAAGGAACGAGGUAGACGAAGCGACCUGGAAAGGUCCGUCGUAGAGGGUAACAACCCCGUAGUCGAAACUUCGUUCUCUCUUGAAUGUAUCCUGAGUACGGCGGAACACGUGAAAUUCCGUCGGAAUCUGGGAGGACCAUCUCCCAAGGCUAAAUACUCCCUAGUGAUCGAUAGUGAACCAGUACCGUGAGGGAAAGGUGAAAAGCACCCCGGAAGGGGAGUGAAAGAGAUCCUGAAACCGUGUGCCUACAAAUAGUCAGAGCCCGUUAACGGGUGAUGGCGUGCCUUUUGUAGAAUGAACCGGCGAGUUACGAUCCCGUGCGAGGUUAAGCUGAAGAGGCGGAGCCGCAGCGAAAGCGAGUCUGAAUAGGGCGUUUAGUACGUGGUCGUAGACCCGAAACCAGGUGAUCUACCCAUGUCCAGGGUGAAGUUCAGGUAACACUGAAUGGAGGCCCGAACCCACGCACGUUGAAAAGUGCGGGGAUGAGGUGUGGGUAGCGGAGAAAUUCCAAUCGAACCUGGAGAUAGCUGGUUCUCCCCGAAAUAGCUUUAGGGCUAGCCUUAAGUGUAAGAGUCUUGGAGGUAGAGCACUGAUUGGACUAGGGGUCCUCAUCGGAUUACCGAAUUCAGUCAAACUCCGAAUGCCAAUGACUUAUCCUUAGGAGUCAGACUGCGAGUGAUAAGAUCCGUAGUCAAAAGGGAAACAGCCCAGACCGCCAGCUAAGGUCCCAAAGUGUGUAUUAAGUGGAAAAGGAUGUGGAGUUGCUUAGACAACUAGGAUGUUGGCUUAGAAGCAGCCACCAUUUAAAGAGUGCGUAAUAGCUCACUAGUCGAGUGACUCUGCGCCGAAAAUGUACCGGGGCUAAAUACACCACCGAAGCUGCGGAUUGAUACCAAUGGUAUCAGUGGUAGGGGAGCGUUCUAAGGACAGUGAAGUCAGACCGGAAGGACUGGUGGAGUGCUUAGAAGUGAGAAUGCCGGUAUGAGUAGCGAAAGACGGGUGAGAAUCCCGUCCACCGAAUGCCUAAGGUUUCCUGAGGAAGGCUCGUCCGCUCAGGGUUAGUCAGGACCUAAGCCGAGGCCGACAGGCGUAGGCGAUGGACAACAGGUUGAUAUUCCUGUACCACCUCUUUAUCGUUUGAGCAAUGGAGGGACGCAGAAGGAUAGAAGAAGCGUGCGAUUGGUUGUGCACGUCCAAGCAGUUAGGCUGAUAAGUAGGCAAAUCCGCUUAUCGUGAAGGCUGAGCUGUGAUGGGGAAGCUCCUUAUGGAGCGAAGUCUUUGAUUCCCCGCUGCCAAGAAAAGCUUCUAGCGAGAUAAAAGGUGCCUGUACCGCAAACCGACACAGGUAGGCGAGGAGAGAAUCCUAAGGUGUGCGAGAGAACUCUGGUUAAGGAACUCGGCAAAAUGACCCCGUAACUUCGGGAGAAGGGGUGCUUUCUUAACGGAAAGCCGCAGUGAAUAGGCCCAAGCGACUGUUUAGCAAAAACACAGCUCUCUGCGAAGCCGUAAGGCGAAGUAUAGGGGGUGACACCUGCCCGGUGCUGGAAGGUUAAGGAGAGGGGUUAGCGUAAGCGAAGCUCUGAACUGAAGCCCCAGUAAACGGCGGCCGUAACUAUAACGGUCCUAAGGUAGCGAAAUUCCUUGUCGGGUAAGUUCCGACCCGCACGAAAGGUGUAACGAUUUGGGCACUGUCUCAACCAGAGACUCGGUGAAAUUAUAGUACCUGUGAAGAUGCAGGUUACCCGCGACAGGACGGAAAGACCCCGUGGAGCUUUACUGUAGCCUGAUAUUGAAUUUUGGUACAGUUUGUACAGGAUAGGCGGGAGCCUUUGAAACCGGAGCGCUAGCUUCGGUGGAGGCGCUGGUGGGAUACCGCCCUGACUGUAUUGAAAUUCUAACCUACGGGUCUUAUCGACCCGGGAGACAGUGUCAGGUGGGCAGUUUGACUGGGGCGGUCGCCUCCUAAAGUGUAACGGAGGCGCCCAAAGGUUCCCUCAGAAUGGUUGGAAAUCAUUCGUAGAGUGCAAAGGCAUAAGGGAGCUUGACUGCGAGACCUACAAGUCGAGCAGGGACGAAAGUCGGGCUUAGUGAUCCGGUGGUUCCGCAUGGAAGGGCCAUCGCUCAACGGAUAAAAGCUACCCCGGGGAUAACAGGCUUAUCUCCCCCAAGAGUCCACAUCGACGGGGAGGUUUGGCACCUCGAUGUCGGCUCAUCGCAUCCUGGGGCUGUAGUCGGUCCCAAGGGUUGGGCUGUUCGCCCAUUAAAGCGGUACGCGAGCUGGGUUCAGAACGUCGUGAGACAGUUCGGUCCCUAUCCGUCGUGGGCGUAGGAAAUUUGAGAGGAGCUGUCCUUAGUACGAGAGGACCGGGAUGGACGCACCGCUGGUGUACCAGUUGUUCUGCCAAGGGCAUAGCUGGGUAGCUAUGUGCGGAAGGGAUAAGUGCUGAAAGCAUCUAAGCAUGAAGCCCCCCUCAAGAUGAGAUUUCCCAUAGCGUAAGCUAGUAAGAUCCCUGAAAGAUGAUCAGGUUGAUAGGUUCGAGGUGGAAGCAUGGUGACAUGUGGAGCUGACGAAUACUAAUAGAUCGAGGACUUAACCAUAUA